rnacentral:rRNA from 1 species
CGUAGGGUGCGAGCGUUAAUCGGAAUUACUGGGCGUAAAGCGUGCGCAGGCGGUUUGUUAAGAUAGGCGUGAAAUCCCCGGGCUCAACCUGGGAACUGCGCUUAUGACUGGCAAGCUAGAGUACGGCAGAGGGGGGUGGAAUUCCACGUGUAGCAGUGAAAUGCGUAGAGAUGUGGAGGAACACCAAUGGCGAAGGCAGCCCCCUGGGUCGAUACUGACGCUCAUGCACGAAAGCGUGGGUAGCAAACAGGAUUAGAUACCCUGGUAGUCCACGCCCUAAACGAUGUCAACUAGGUGUUGGGAGGGUAAAACCUUUUAGUACCGGAGCUAACGCGUGAAGUUGACCGCCUGGGGAGUACGGCCGCAAGGUU